AAACUUUUAGUUCAUUCUUUUAACGAAAAACCAGAUAAGGUGGACAAGAAAGACGGUCACCAGCCACCACAAAAACAAAGAAAUCCAAUCCAACAAAUGGAAAGAGAAUAAUUUCAUAAACUCUGCUAAGUAAACAUCUAAGCUCCACAGUGAAGAAUAAGAAAGAAUGGGGAGUCUCCAAUUCAACUCUACUUGUUACUACAGCUGCUACAACAGUAGAACUACUAGUACUACAUUCAGUGCUUUUUCCGCUAAGAACAUCAUCAAACUGAAUGGCUGCUGCAGCUUCAGUAGCACUGCUAGAGCAGGUCCAAGCAGAAGAAGGAUAAGGCCAGCAGCAGUCUUAACUAACCCUGAUCAGCAGGAGAGCACCCCAGUAGAGCAGGAUACAGAAGAAGAUGAUGACGGACCACCUUCUGUGAUCAUAGCAUUCGUCCAUGUGAGUGUUGAAUUUCAUUUUCAUUAUUUAUAACCUUGCAUUUUGCUUAAUACAUAUAUAUAUGAACAUGCUUGCAGUCAGUGUUGCUGCCGGAUGGAACACC
rnacentral:lncRNA from 1 species